CCGCUUUCCAACACUGGGGAGCCCUGGUGCACCAGUAAAGACUCUCUGCCGACGUCGGAGUGCCGUGUGGUUCUUUGCGCCAACUCUCAUUCCAUAGGGCUUAGGAGCUUGGCUCCUAACAUUUGGUGCAUUGGCCGGGAAACCGAGGGAAGGCAAGAGAACCCCGGCCCCGUCGGUGGAUGAUUCUCCGGCCCGGGCCACUGACGGACUGACUGAAGACAGACUUCUGUGCCUUUGUCUACACACAGGUAGGAGACUCCGUGUAAGUCCGGCGGCACCGCUCUCAAGGAUUGGAGCCUCGUUGGAAGGGACCUUACAUCGUCCUGCUGACCACGCCCACCGCCGUAAAGGUUGACGGGAUUGCCGCCUGGAUUCACGCAUCGCACGCCAAAGUAGCCCCAAAAACCCCUGGACCAGAAACUCCCAAAACCUGGAAGCUCCACCGUUCGGAGAACCCUCUUAAGAUAAGACUCUCCCGUGUCUGACUGCUAAUCCACCCUGUCCCUGCACGAACCCAAAAUGAAACCCCCAGCAGGAAUGGUCUUUCUGUGGGUCCUCACAAGCUUGGGGGCGGGAAUUGGAGCUAAAAUUGUCAAAGAGGGGAACCCACAUCAGGUUUACACCUUGACUUGGCAAAUCUACUCCCAGAGUGGGGAAGUUGUCUGGGAGGUCCAAGGUAACCAUGCGCUUAACACUUGGUGGCCCCCACUUACCCCUGAUUUUUGCCAGCUGGCAGCUGGACUAGACACUUGGGAUAUCCCCCUGGUUUACCACUUUAGUCUCCUCCCUCAUGGGCCCCUUAAUACUCCUACUAUUAAUACUGGUGUUCGGACCCUGCAUCCUUAACCGCUUGGUACAGUUCAUAAGAGAAAGACUCUCUGUCAUCCAGGCCUUGGUUCUAACCCAACAGUACCACCAACUAAGACAAUUUGAUGCAGAAAGGCCAGAUACAA